AGUGAACGCUGGCGGCAGGCCUAACACAUGCAAGUCGAACGGCAGCACAGUAAGAGCUUGCUCUUACGGGUGGCGAGUGGCGGACGGGUGAGGAAUACAUCGGAGUCUACUUUUUCGUGGGGGAUAACGUAGGGAAACUUACGCUAAUACCGCAUACGACCUACGGGUGAAAGCAGGGGAUCUUCGGACCUUGCGCGAUUGAAUGAGCCGAUGUCGGAUUAGCUAGUUGGCGGGGUAAGGCCCACCAAGGCGACGAUCCGUAGCUGGUCUGAGAGGAUGAUCAGCCACACUGGAACUGAGACACGGUCCAGACUCCUACGGGAGGCAGCAGUGGGGAAUAUUGGACAAUGGGCGCAAGCCUGAUCCAGCCAUACCGCGUGGGUGAAGAAGGCCUUCGGGUUGUAAAGCCCUUUUGUUGGGAAAGAAAAGCAGCAGGUUAAUACCCCGCUGUUCUGACGGUACCCAAAGAAUAAGCACCGGCUAACUUCGUG
rnacentral:rRNA from 1 species